rnacentral:rRNA from 1 species
AUUGAACGCUGGCGGCAGGCCUAACACAUGCAAGUCGAGCGGUUGACGGGAGCUCGCUCCCUGAUUCAGCGGCGGACGGGUGAGUAAUGCCUAGGAAUCUGCCUAUUAGUGGGGGACAACGUUUCGAAAGGAACGCUAAUACCGCAUACGUCCUACGGGAGAAAGCAGGGGACCUUCGGGCCUUGCGCUAAUAGAUGAGCCUAGGUCGGAUUAGCUUGUUGGUGAGGUAAUGGCUCACCAAGGCGACGAUCCGUAACUGGUCUGAGAGGAUGAUCAGUCACACUGGAACUGAGACACAGUCCAGACUCCUACGGGAGGCAGCAGUGGGGAAUAUUGGACAAUGGGCGAAAGCCUGAUCCAGCCAUGCCGCGUGUGUGAAGAAGGUCUUCGGAUUGUAAAGCACUUUAAGUUGGGAGGAAGGGUUGUAGGUUAAUACUCUGCAAUUUUGACGUUACCGACAGAAUAAGCACCGGCUAACUCUGUGCCAGCCGCCGCGGUAA